AAUGUAAGUGAGAGAAGAAUAGUAAGUACUUUAUAUACAUCAUAUUGUUAUAAGAAUUUUUUCAGUUAAACAAAACAGAUAUGAAAUGAGAUACAGAAAACAAAGUAUACUCCGUGUGUUGCUACGUUUGACAAGCUAGCAUGCCUGUGUACUUCAGUUAAUCCCUCCGUGUAUUUCUUGUUAGUUCCAUGUUAAUUGCAAGGAUUUUCCUCCGUCAUGGGAACAAUAGAGAUAAAUACACAAGGCAAUAUAAACUGGAAGAAUAAUGUCCAGCUUUGUCACCGCAUAGAAACAAAGAUCGAAGUUCAUUGUAAUUAAAAAUAAGUGCAUAUGUGGGGUUGGGGUUGAAUUGAACAUGAAUCUUCAACUGGGACAUUUAUAUACAGCCAUGUAUUUACGCAGAUUUUACGUUGCAUGUGCAUUGCUAAGAAUGUAGAUUUUUUUAUUUUCAUAAUUUCAAAACUAUGAAUACUAUAAAUUAAGAUUUCAAACACUAAUACUAUAGUCAGGUGGUAGAAUUAGACACAUAUGUCUGCGUGUGAAAUACGUUAAUUCGCACAUGCAAGUAAGUACAUGAAAUAUGCCAACUGGAAUUUUUUUUCGAAUAUGCUCAAUUUAUUGAUUUAGCAAUCAAUAUGUAAUUUGCAUACAUGUAUAAUUAUGCAUGCAUGUCAAUGGGUGUUUUGAUUUUAUCAUAUGUUAUAAUAGUAUCAAGGAUAUACAAUGUGAUUAUAGGCAUAUGUUCUGAAAACUUAUGUUGCCCUCUCUCUACAUACAGUGUACAUGUAGAUUAUGACAUGUGUACAUACAUUAUUAGUCACACUACAGUUUAGGACAUUAUACAUGUGUAAUAAUAUUAAUAUUAUUUGUUUAAAAACAUUUCAAUUCAAAGCUUAACUGAAUCUGUCAGGUUUUCUAAUAUAUCUUUGAAAAAUACAAAAUAAUUUAACACAAUACGAAUCAUCGUCUCAUAAAACAUAUGGUGUCAACGGUUUGAGUUUUAUCAAGUCCAUAAAAAUGACCGAAGAAAUCCUUCCUAGCCUUUGCGAAUUUCGGACAGAAGAAAAAAAUAAUGGUAUGCAUCUUAUACUUAUAAUAUUCACAUGAACAUAACGAGGUUGCAGUAAUAGAUCAUUGUUCAUAGUACACAAUUAUGACAAAAUCUAAUACCUAGAUGUACCACCAUAAGUGGUAAUUUAGCUUGCCGCUUUAUUUAUUAUUAUAAUUUGAGAUUGAAUGAGCAUUUCUAAUACCAAUAGAAAGGCAGUUGACCUGUAAGGAUGUAAUGCUUCCUUCAUUUUAUCGACAUCAAAUGAAUAUUUUACGCCUAUGGAAUCGACUCGUUACAAUGCCGGACGACAGGCUUACGAAAAAAAAAAUUCAUGUGGGAUAUGGAAUAAUCACACAACAUAAAUUGGUCAAAUACAGUCAAAUUCCUUUUUGAAUCUCUUGAUAUGACAGUAGAUUUCCUAAAUCGUAUGGUCUGUAACGUGAACACAGUGGAAGAAAAACUUCGUCUGGAUUUUAUGAAUGGCUGGAAUGAAGAGGUCCAUAACGUUCCAAAACUUAGAACCUACCGACCGUAAAAAUAUGAGUGAUUUUCAAACAGAGAAAUAUGUAAUCAUGGAUAUUCCAAAAAGUCAUCGUUCUAUACUUGCCUAGUUCAGAUGUGGUGUCUUACCUAUAAGAAUUGAAACAGGACGGUAUAAGGGGGAGACGUUAUCGGAUAGACUGUGUACUUUAUGUUCUUCAGAUAGUGUAGAAGAUGAAUGUCACAUUUUACUUCAUUGUUUCUCUUAUUCAAAUCUUAGAGUAAUCUUUUUUACCAGUAUCGGAUUUAACCCCACUGUGAUCAAUAUGUCAGAUUUAAACAAAACAAAAUUUCUAUUAUUAAAUUUCCCAAGACAAACUGCAAAAUUCCUGUUCUCCGCAUACACCUACAGACAGUCUAUCAUAUACCAUAAUAGUAAAAGUCAUGCAUAAUACAUGUACCACUGUAUUUAUUAUUUAAUGUGUGUGUGUGGGGGGGGGGGGGUUCUGUUAAAAGUGACAUAUAGGCCCGAUGGGCCGGGUGUUUAAAUUCCUAAAUUCCUAUUAUUCUGUUUAAUAUAUAACACAUUUCACUAUAAUAAAUAAUUUACUUACUUACUUACUUACAUUCCUAGAUGUAUUUGUGUUCGAUUACCUCGCAUGCUUGUAACAUUUGGGCACUAAACUGUAUGCGAAUAUUUGUCGCAUAUAGUACUUGUUCACAAAAUUCAGGACUAGUUAAUUUUGGAAUCAGCAUAUCUUAUAUUUUAUAAUAUGAAUUUAAUGCAGUGCAGUUUGAAACCAUGCAAAGUUUCACACAUUAGAAAUGAAUUCAGCAUUCUAAUACAAACAUGCACUGAUGAACACUUCUCAAUUUAAGUUCCUGAGAGUACAUAUUGUAACCUGAAAGUCUAUUUACUGUUAUUUAGAAGUUUGAAUCUAAACCUACAACAUUUGCAAAAUCUGCAUCUACUCAACAAUACAAUUCGGUGUGCAUUAUUUCGACAAUAAGUUCUAUGGGGAUGUAUUCUACACAACUCGAUCAAGAACUCGGGUAUUGGUAGUAAAUUAAAGCAAAUUUAAUUAGAUAAUAUCUUCACCAUCUCUAUAUUAUUAUAACCCUAAAAAAUAUAUAUCCAUGCACUUUGGAAGUGAUAUCAUACAAAUGAACAUGAUAUAAGCAUACAAUAAUCGUGCAAACUUAGAAGCUCUCAAAUGUGUACUGUUGAUUUUAAAAAAAAUUAUUUACGAAUUUUUCACUUCAUGCAUAUAUCACUGUUGCAUGAUACAUAUGGGAAAUAGGUUACAUGGAUAUUUUCACACAUAUUCAUUUUGAAAUACGAACUCAAUAACAUAAGGUAUACUGUCUACAUUUCAUAUUCAUCUUAUUCUUUUGUGUAAGCAUAUAUAUGAUGUAAACUUCUUUUUCAGAGAGAGAGAGAGAGCUACAUAAGUAUUAUUUUCUUGGUAACAUAUUUUGAUAACUAUAAUACAUGUACAUGUACAUCUAGAUAUGAUUUACAAUGUAUCUAUUGAUCAAACCAAACAACACACAAAAAGAAAAGAAAGAAAAAAGAAACACAAUCGUAUUUGAUGAAAAAGUACCUAUAGACCUACAUGUAUAUACUGAUCAUGCAUAUGAGUUUUCACAUAUUCUCUGCCAGUGAAUUUCAUAAUCAUCAUGUCUACAGUUUCUUAGCAGCAAGUACUUCUCAACCACAAUUCUGUUCGUAACUAUUUUUCUAAUCGCAGAUAUAUGUACUUGCGGACUAUUUUGAUAUUUACAAGAAAAUAUAUAUUGUUUUACUACAAGCAAAUCAAAUUUUGAAUGUCUAACUGUUGAUUUUUAUUAUACAUUUGUAGAAUCAAUAUUUUAUUUUUACUGACAUGCAUCCCGACUGAGAUAUUAAUUAUAGAAAAAGAAACUUAAGCAAUUACUUGAAUUUAGUAUGUAGUUCCUGUGUUUCAUCUAUCAUCUAAGGAUUUCAACGGUUUAGUUCAGUAAAAAUUGAGACUCCAGUAGUUAAGAAACCACUUUAAAUGAAAGUAGAUGGCUGAGGGGCACACGUACAUGUACAUGUGUUUACAAAUAUCCUUGACAAUUGCGAGGCGAAAUUAAUGUGUUGCUAAGAAAAAAGCAGUUCAUUCUUCAAAACAUUUCCAUGUAUUUGGUUAUCUCACAUGCAGAAUGUCCAGUCUUGUAUAUACCAUUGCUUUAUAGCUCAUAUUGUGAGAACAGAGAAAAGUCGGGCAGAAGAGGGGCACCUUAUAAUACCCCAUAAAGAUGCAGAAGAAAGUUUGUGUGACUGUAUGCUACACCGGUAUUGAGUUUAUUUCAUGAUUUUUAGACCUCUAAUAAACGUAAACUUUUCAUUAUAAUACAACAUAUAGCACACUACAGAUUAUUUACAUUUAAAAUUGUAAACAAAGGGCGGCCAUUUUGAACUUAGAGUCGCAGGGACGCUAUUUAAAAAAAAUCCUAUGAUAUAGAAAAACGAUGCAGAAAUUUAACACAUGCAUGAUUUUUUAAAUUCAGACGUUUGUGAAACAAUUUACACACAAAAUAAAUUAUAUAUCUAUAAAAGUAUGUUUUCCCAUAAAUCCUCUCCUGAUCGCUGAUUGGUUGUAAUUUUCGGCGGGCAAAAUUGAUUGUUGUUUGUGAGAGAAAACCUAGCGUGACUCAAAUGGAACCAUGUCAUGUUUUGAUUGAAUGGAAGAUCCAAAGAUUUUUCUGAGAAUAGGAGACGUCUACUGUUGUUGGGCAUCAUUCAGGUAUUUCCGGUGUUGACUUGAAACGUUUUUAUUCACGAUGUUGCGGAUUCAUCAUUGCAUUUGCAUGGGGUAGUGCAUAUGUUGUGUGUGGCCUUCUAAACGAUAAAUCUAUGGAUUAAAGGAUGAACAGGUCGAUGCAGGAAUAUUCAUUCUAAUGAUAAGGAAAUACGAAAUACAAGGACAACCUCCAAGCAUGCAGUAUGCCUUAGAUCUAUACAAUGGUGGAAUGUUCCAUCCUAGAAAUAGUUUCUAUUCUCAAUUAUGGUGCAGCAUCAAAUUAAAGAUGAGAAGUAAAUCCUGUGCCAAUCCCUCAGCAUUAGAAGUGAAAGGCACAGGUGUUUUAGGCAUGAUGUUAAAACCAAAGGCCCCAUAUCACGGUAGGUAUUGGCACGAUAAAGAACCCUCACUGCUACACAACUAAGUUAAGGCUAAUCCCUCCAAAAGUCUCAGUGCUGUACAUAAAUCUACCUUCAAGUUGAGCAAUGCACUUCACACCAUACAAUGUCACAAUGAAAAAGUAAGGCACAACGCACAGGGCUAUAUAUUCAUAUCAUUGGGAAAAUGUUGCAAUAUUUUAGCUGUAUUGACCAAGGCUAUCAAGUUCUAAGCUGUAUACAAAUUUGUUUAAAAUUUUCUGUCAUAUGAUAUAUUUUUCUCUUUGGUAUUGUAGCAAUUUCAAAUUUUCAGUAUAGAACAUGUGCAAAGAUAUUAUUCAUAUGAUUGAUUGAUUGAUUGAUGUUUUCCGCCACACUCAACAAUUUUUCAGUUAUAUGGUGGCGCCCAGUUUUUAUUGGUGGAAGAGAGAACCCAGAUACAAUGUACCUGGGAAGAGACCAUCAACCUUCCGAAAGUAAACUGGGAAACUUUCUCACUUAACGGCAUGAGUGGGAUUGGAACCCUCGCCAACAGAGAACUAGAUGAGCAGAAGAUGCAUUCCAUGACUGACUCCCCAUAUGAUAUGAAAGAGAGCCCAUGAGAAUGGAACCAACUUUCAGUGUUACAAUGGAUGAACACUCCUCCUGUCACAAGUCCAUCUUGAUUCAGUAAAGUGGUAGUCUAUUUAUCUAGGAAGCAACAAGACGGAUCUGGACAAGGACCAUAUUGACUCAAGUUUUGGUGUCAGAAGACCAUUUUGAUUAAACAUGUUAAAAGCACCACAGAAGUAAGAAGCUAGGAUACCAGUUUUAUAAACUAAAGAGUCGAAAGGCCCAGCUGGAGAGAAAUUCCCAUUUCUCGACCAAGGACAAAAAAAAAAAAGAUUAAAAAGGUGCUGACUAAGGAGGCAACGUCUCCAGAAGUAACGGAUGAUGAGGAAGCCACCCAGAGGAAGGUCUUACCAUUUAUAUGGGAGUCAUCCCUGCUGCGUAAUGUUAAGUGCGACCUGGACAGAGAGUAUGCUGAAUCUUUGCAACUUCAAUCAAAUAGACAAAAAGCCAAGGCCAUUAGAAGUAGAACGGAAAUGACUAUGACCCCACCACCUAGGAGCAUUCAAGAUUGGGCCGUUUCCUCUACUUAUAAAUGAUGCUAUUACUGUUAAUAGUUAUAUUUAAUUUCCUCAUUUCUAGCUCACCUGAGACAAAGGCUCAAGGUCACAAUUAAUACUUUUAUACCAUUAUAACCAGUUUUUAUGAAAUUUUAAUAAUGCUGUUGAAGGAGAAUUGCAAUUUUUUGGAUGUUUAUAAUUGACACUGUUUAAGUAUGUCUAGUAUCUUAAAAAGUGAGAUGACCUAUAUAUUUCAUUUCAUAAUUUAUUAAUUUUAACUUAAAUUGAAAUAAAUGCAUUUUUGAUACUUUUAUCAGAGAAUAUUGCAAGUAUGGAGUUACCUUGAUAUAUUUAUACAGAUUUGUUCUGCUUUAGUACUAGUGUAUCAGUAUUAUUACAUCAAGUUCAUUUGUGUGAAUAUUAUAAUAUUUAAGAAUGAAUAAAACUGUCAAAUUGUG